GGCCCGAAAUGCGGGGCCCUCCCGACCGCGCUCUGAGCGUGGGCCGUUUCUCCCGGGGUCACCGCGAGGGGGGGCGCCGCCGAAAGUCAACACCGCAGACCAUCUCUGAUGGAAAGGGCUCCUGAAGCCUGAUGCUAUCAGGCCCAAGAAUUGGCCAGGGAAGUGCUCACUACAGACAGGACCUCUCAGAAAAACGGUCAGGGCAACAAUUUGCUCAGCAUAUCUCUUCCUAAAUUCCAAGACAGGCUGCUUGCUCUGUUCAGUCAAGACUGCCAACCCAAGAAACAUUUUCAAAAGAUCACAGUCAACGUCAUUGCCAAAAGAAGAAGUUCUUGGCACACAAAGGACCUGGUUCAAUAUGAGAUGCCAGAUGGUGAUUUCAACUUCAGCUAAAUUCCUGCUGAAAAAAGUGUUUGAACUGCAGAUGAGAAAAGCUUCUAUGACAAAUUUCCAAGUGUGAGAAGCUUCAGAGGGAAAUGGCAAGUGUUGAUGCACCCCUCCCCCCCAACCACAUGCACACACCAUAGAACUACUACCUGCAUCUGGUAAUUAAGAUUCCGACAAAGAUGUCUCUGCUUUUUAAGAAGAC